AGCGAACGCUGGCGGCAGGCCUAACACAUGCAAGUCGAACGAACCUUUCGGGGUUAGUGGCGGACGGGUGAGUAACACGUGGGAACGUGCCUUUAGGUUCGGAAUAACUCAGGGAAACUUGUGCUAAUACCGAAUGUGCCCUUCGGGGGAAAGAUUUAUCGCCUUUAGAGCGGCCCGCGUCUGAUUAGCUAGUUGGUUGAGGUAAUGGCUCACCAAGGCGACGAUCAGUAGCUGGUCUGAGAGGAUGAUCAGCCCCAUUGGGACUGGGACCCGGCCCAAACUCCUCCGGGAGGAGGCAGUGGGGAAUCUUGCGCAUUGGGCGAAAGCCUGACGCGGCCAUGCCGCGUGAUUGAUGAAGGUCUUAGGAUUGUAAAAUUCUUUCACCGGGGACGAUAUUACCGGAACCCGAAGAAGAGGCCCCGCCUACCUUCGU
rnacentral:rRNA from 1 species